UUUUUGGAGAGUUUGAUCUUGGCUCAGGACGAACGCUGGCGGCGUGCCUAAUACAUGCAAGUCGAGCGCGGGAAUCUCUUCUGAUCCCUUCGGGGUGAAGAGAGUGGAACGAGCGGCGGACGGGUGAGUAACACGUGGGCAACCUACCUAUAAGACUGGGAUAACUCGCGGAAACGUGAGCUAAUACCGGAUAAUACUUUUUAUUGCAUAGUAAGAAGUUUGAAAGGCGGCGUAAGCUGUCACUUAUAGAUGGACCCGCGGCGCAUUAGCUAGUUGGUGAGGUAAAGGCUCACCAAGGCAACGAUGCGUAGCCGACCUGAGAGGGUGAUCGGCCACACUGGGACUGAGACACGGCCCAGACUCCUACGGGAGGCAGCAGUAGGGAAUCUUCCGCAAUGGACGAAAGUCUGACGGAGCAACGCCGCGUGAGUGAAGAAGGUUUUCGGAUCGUAAAACUCUGUUGUUAGGGAAGAACAAGUCA
rnacentral:rRNA from 1 species